UACGGAGGUGGCAAGCGUUGCUCGGAAUCACUGGGCGUAAAGGGCGCGUAGGCGGGGAGGUAAGUCGGGUGUGAAAUCCCUCGGCCCAACCGAGGAACUGCGCCCGAGACUGCUUCUCUUGAGUCCCGGAGAGGAAGAUGGAAUUCCCGGUGUAGCGGUGAAAUGUGUAGAGAUCGGGAGGAACACCGGUGGCGAAGGCGGGUCUCUGGGCAAUAACUGACGCUGAGGAGCGAAAGCGUGGGGAGCGAACAGG
rnacentral:rRNA from 1 species